rnacentral:rRNA from 1 species
ACGAACGCUGGCGGCGUGCUUAACCCAUGCAAGUCGAACGGAAAGGCCCUGCUUUUGUGGGGUGCUCGAGUGGCGAACGGGUGAGUAACACGUGAGUAACCUGCCCUUGACUUUGGGAUAACUUCAGGAAACUGGGGCUAAUACCGGAUAGGAGCUCCUGCUGCAUGGUGGGGGUUGGAAAGUUUCGGCGGUUGGGGUUGGACUCGCGGCUUAUCAGCUUGUUGGUGGGGUAGUGGCUUACCAAGGCUUUGACGGGUAGCCGGCCUGAGAGGGUGACCGGCCACAUUGGGACUGAGAUACGGCCCAGACUCCUACGGGAGGCAGCAGUGGGGAAUAUUGCACAAUGGGCGGAAGCCUGAUGCAGCAACGCCGCGUGCGGGAUGACGGCCUUCGGGUUGUAAACCGCUUUCGCCUGUGACGAAGCGUGAGUGACGGUAAUGGGUAAAGAAGCACCGGCUAACUACGUG